CCUACGGGAGGCAGCAGUGGGGAAUAUUGCACAAUGGGGGAAACCCUGAUGCAGCGACGCCGCGUGAGUGAAGAAGUAAUUCGUUACGUAAAGCUCUAUCAGCAGGGAAGCAAUACUGACCUUACGGUCAGCAGACGGUACCUGAGUAAGAAGCCCCGGCUAACUACGUGCUAGCAGCCGCGGGAAUACGGAGGGGGCAAGCGUUCUCCGGAUUUUCUGGGGGUAAAGGGAGCGUAGACGGUGCGCCAAGUCAGGAGUGAAAUGCGGGAGCUUAACUGCGGAACUGCUUUGGAAACUGGCGAACUAGAGUGCGGGAGAGGUAAGCGGAAUUCCUAGUGUAGCGGUGAAAUGCGUAGAUAUUAGGAGGAACACCGGUGGCGAAGGCGGCUUACUGGACCGUAACUGACGUUGAGGCUCGAAAGCGUGGGGAGCAAACAGGAUUAGAUACCCGUGUAGCC
rnacentral:rRNA from 1 species